GUGACGCGUAGGGUCAUUACCGAGUUUACAACUCCCAAACCCCAAUGUGAACGUUACCAAACUGUUGCCUCGGCGGGAUUUCUGCCCCGGGCGCGUCGCAGCCCCGGACCAAGGCGCCCGCCGGAGGACCAAUACACAAACUCUUUUGUAUAUCCCAUCGCGGAUUCUUUUACAUUCUGAGCUUUCUCGGCGCUCCUAGCGAGCGUUUCGAAAAUGAAUCAAAACUUUCAACAACGGAUCUCUUGGUUCUGGCAUCGAUGAAGAACGCAGCGAAAUGCGAUAAGUAAUGUGAAUUGCAGAAUUCAGUGAAUCAUCGAAUCUUUGAACGCACAUUGCGCCCGCCAGUAUUCUGGCGGGCAUGCCUGUCCGAGCGUCAUUUCAACCCUCGAACCCCUCCGGGGGGUCGGCGUUGGGGAUCGGCACUUACCUGCCGGCCCCGAAAUACAGUGGCGGUCUCGCCGCAGCCUCUCCUGCGCAGUAGUUUGCACACUCGCACCGGGAGCGCGGCGCGUCCACGGCCGUAAAACAACCCAAACUUCUGAAAUGUUGACCUCGGAUCAGGUAGGAAUACCCGCUGAACUUAAGCAUAUCAUAAGGCGGGAGGAAAUUUUU
rnacentral:rRNA from 1 species